rnacentral:misc_RNA from 1 species
GGCACAAGCUUGGGAUUUGCAACAACUCUUUAACUGUAUUUCUGGGAGUAACUGCCUCUCAACUGGCAUGAUCUUAUUGCUGUGCAUCUCCUCUCUAUCCAUGUCACUUGGGGAACUAGAACAAUUGCAUCUGCAAUCCUAAUACUGUAUUUAAAGUAUGUUAAUGUUUCCGAGGCCACUGCUUGGUGCAUCAGGAAAAUUCUUGGGCUUGUAACCACAAAGGUGCAAGUUCAAGUUUUGAGAGCAGCCAAUUUACACUAAAGUAUUGAAUGAUAGGGUUGUCUCCACAUCUUCCCUCCCAGAACCCUACCUCAGAGGAAACAGAAAGCCUUUCUGUUUACAUCUCUCAGUCAUUGAGUUUUGAGGGGUUCACUUUGGUGAAUUUCAAGGUUAAUUAUAAAAUUUGUCACUAAAUUUGUUACUAAAUUUCAUUUCAGUCACAACUUCAAUUUUGUUGCUAUUUGGUCAUAGAACUUUAAUUUUGCUUAAUUUUGGUAUUGUCACCUGAUUCUGUGCAUAACCUUUCCAAAAUGCUGGCGUGGACCACUUCUUUGAUUAAAAUAAUUCAUUUCUUUCUCCUAAUCUGCAAGGGAGAAUAUAUGUCCCAAGUCAAUAAAAAA